UCAAGGUUUUAAAGUUUCUUUCAAAGAAAGACACUUUUCUCUCUUAGAGAAAUUCUGCUGCCAUCUAUAAAGAAAUACGUUCUCCACGUUUCACAAGGGAAUGAAUAAAUUCAUGAAUAGUGUUGGAGGUGGGGCCUGGUGGGAGCUGUUUGGACCAUGGAAGCAGAUCCUUCGUGAAUGGCCAUCCCCUUGGUAAUAAAGUUACAGUCAAGAUGUUGACCAGGAUGCAUGCAAUCAUAUGAAGGCCUGACUGGGGUUGGAGGAUCUGCUUCCAAGCUCAUUCACAUGGCUAUUGUCAGAAGGCUUCAAUACCUCAUCGACUGUUAGCUGGAAGCCUUAAUUACUCACCAUGUGAGCCUUUUUAUAAGUUGCCUAAGUGACCUUAUGACUCUGAUAUGACAGCUACCUGGCCCCAACAAGUAAUCCUGGAGAAAGAAUAAAAAGGCUGGCAUGUUUUAUAGUUUCCCCUCAGAAGUUACACUACAUCAUUUCCUCUGCAUUCUAUUCAUGAGAACAAGUCAUUUAAUACAGUCCAAACUCAAGGUGAGGGGAAUGAAGUUUGACCCUUUGAAGAAAGAAGUAUCAAAUAAUUUGUGAACAUAUUUUAAUUCUACCAUAUGAGUUAAUAAAAUUUAAUUCAUGAAAUUUAACUUAAUUAUUAUAAAGUGGUGUCAAUAUAUUUGUAAAAUGUAGGUAUUUAAAGGGAAACAAAGUCUAUUAAAGAAGACAAUGUUUCAAUGUUGUUGCUAGCUUGUUUGCAUUUUGUCACCAUUUUCGUCUCAUUCUGUCUGUUAAAAAAAUUCUCUAUAUAGUGCUAAAUAAAUGAAGACUUGGCCUAUCUUACUAUGUCAACUAAGAAUUGGAUUUGAUACUUAUAACAGACAAUAACAGAAUCUUAUAUAGAAGGGAUAUAGUCUUCCUCACCUAAUAACAAAUCCAGAAGUGGGACAGUCCAGAGCUGGUAAGUUGGCCCUCCAAAGCAACCACGGACCUAGGCACCUCCGGUGUCCUACAUUAUUAAUAGUGCCGGUGUGGCUUUUGUUAUUAUGGGUGAAAUAUGUUUGCUCUACCUCCAGUAUCAUGUCCCUGUUUCAGGUUCAAAACAAUAAAAGGGGUGGGUGCAGAUCAAAUGGCUAAAGCAAUAUUUCUUGAGCCUCCUCUACAGAAAUUCACUUUUAUUUAAUUGAUGGUCACAUGGCCAGCCAUGACUUAAGAAAGUCUAGGAGCAUGAAUAUUUUUAACUGGACACACUGUCUCCCUGAGGAAAUCAGAGUUCUACUAGUAAAGAAGAAAGGAUAUUGGUUUAGACAACCAGUAAUGUCUACCGACCUACUCCAAGGAGCUUUAACAUGCAUUAUUAAACACUAGAUACAAGAAAAACAACAAUACUGAGGUUUACUUGUGUUUCAAAUAUAUUUCAAAUGGGAGAAUCUGGUCAGUUUUGAGUCCCACAUAUAAAGUAUAUUUUUCAAAGUAACCACAACUUUUAUUCUCUAAUUGAAAAUGUUAAAGAAUUGGCUGACAUUAAUGUUACUUCUAGGAAUGUGUCCAAGGAGAUAAUUGCACAAUUGUACAACAGCCUGUGGAUAAGAAUGUUCAUCAGAGACUUUUUUAUGAUAGUAAAAACUUGGAAACAUAAAUGUCAAUCAAUAGAAUACUGGUUGGAUAAAUGACGGUAUAUCCAUUUAACAGACACUAUGCAACUUUUAAAAAUGAUGUUAUUCACGACUAUUGUUCACUGUGCAGAUAAUAAGAUCCAAUUUAUGAAAUAUUGUAUUUAUAUGUCUAUAUGUGUUUCUAUUCUUAAAGAGAUGCCUAGAAGAAUGUAACACAAAAUUUAAGAAAUGGUUAUCUCUAUAUUAUGGUAUUUGGACAGAUUUUAACUUCUUUGCAUUUUUGUUUAAAAUUUUUCAAUUUGUUUGCAUAAGCAUGUAUUGUUUUUAUAAAACAAUAGUUAUUAGCUGGGUGCCACAGGCUGCGCCUGUAAUCCCAACUACUGGGGAAGCUAAUGUAGGAAGAUUGCUUCAGCCCUCAGCCCAGUUGCUCGAGGCUGUUGUGUGCAUGAUCACACCUGUGAAUAGCCACUGCACUCCAGCCUGGGCGACACAGAAAGACCAUAUCGCUUUUAAAAAAGAAAAAAAAAAAGCUAUUUUCAAAGAAAGGCAGGGUGGGAGCAGGGCUGAUUUGGUCCAGUAUUGUUUCCAGCAAGUAAUUAUCCUGGAUAAGGCUGUGGCUGACCUUAUCUUAGGAAAGGGUUCUAAUCUUUGCUCAAUGGAAAAAAGUGUUAUUCUUUAUUCAUUAUAACUUUUAAUAAAAUUAAAACGAGAAAAGGAGUUGUGAGUUUUCAUUUCUAUUUGGAACACUGACCUCUGAAAGGGUCUCCCUUCCAUGUUUUACAAUGGGUGGAAAGAUAUUGUGGAAAGGUGGAGGGGGA